rnacentral:rRNA from 1 species
CAUCUAGGCGGGAUGUUAAGUCAGGUGUGAAAUUCCACGGCUCAACCGUGGACCUGCAUUUGAUACUGGCAUUCUUGAGUUCGGUAGAGGAAGGCGGAAUUCCCGGUGUAGCGGUGAAAUGCGUAGAUAUCGGGAAGAACACCGGUGGCGAAGGCGGCCUUCUGGACCUGGACUGACGCUGACAUGCGAAAGUGUGGGGAUCAAACG